UGUAGUUGUGGGGGAUCAGAUCGUAAUCCGCCUUACCGAGUUCAGUGCCAGUUACCUCUGAAUCAACUAACAGCGGGUAAGUUUUUUUUCUUUUUCUUUUUCUAGCAAAUUUUUACCAUUCUUUGGUUUAAAUGACUUUGUGAGGGUCACCUAUACCGGAGUUUCCUUUUUGCUUUCUUUUAUUUUUUUGUUUUGCUGGAUCAUUCACUUAUUUGCAUCGGUCCCCUAUGUAGAGGAUGCGUAGGCCGGAGCUGACUGCUGAGAUAAACUACUGAGGACUUAUAUGAAAAUGAUGAUUAAGG
rnacentral:lncRNA from 1 species